CUUCUGUGAUGAUACGAUGACGAGUCAGAAGAGACUCCCUUCUGCCCGGGCUCAGCAACACUCUGCCACGUUCUGUGGCCCUGUGUUGGUGGCCCUGGCAAAGAGGGGGGUCUGCUCAUUGGAUGAACUAGAGGCAUUUGUCUGAGAAGG